GUAGUCUCGCACAGAUGCAUAUCAAUAAGCGGAGGAAAAGAAACUAACAAGGAUUCCCCUAGUAACGGCGAGUGAAGCGGGAAGAGCUCAAAUUUGAAAUCUUAAAGGGUUUCCCUUUACGAAUUGUAGUUUAAAGAAGUGUUUUCUGUUGAGGUUUUGGUAAAAGUUCUUUGGAAUAGGACAUCAUAGAGGGUGGGAAUCCCGUAUUUGACCUUUACUUUCAACUUUGUGAUACACUUUCAAAGAGUCGGAUUGUUUGGGAAUGCAGUCCAAAAUGGGUGGUAAAUUUCAUCUAAAGCUAAAUAUUGGCGAGAGACCGAUAGCGAACAAGUACCGUGAGGGAAAGAUGAAAAGAACUUUGAAAAGAGAGUUAAACAGUACGUGAAAUUGUCAAAAGGGAAGCGUUUGACACCAGUGUUGUUUUUCUGAAAAUCAAUUAAAGAACUGUUUAUGCUAAGCUGUUUAGACUUUAUCAGCUAUCUGUUUAGUUUUGAGCUUUUCUUUAAUGCACUUUUCAGUUAACAAGUCAACAUCAAUUUCUUUUGCUGUAAAAAAGCUUGAGGAAGGUGGCUUGAGAUUCGUCUUAAGUGUUUAUAGCCUCUUGCCUAUGCAGUCGGAGAGAUUGAGGUCUGCAGCGUAGAUCCUUCGGGGCUAAAUGCAUUUGUGCUAAGUUAUAGCAUUUUAUAGACAACUUGUUGACUAUGAUUUGUCUUGUAGCUUACUCGCUUAUGUUAUUUUACCUACGCUUAGGAUGUUGACAGCAGUAUAGACUGU
rnacentral:rRNA from 1 species